AGAGUUUGAUCCUGGCUCAGGAUAAACGCUGGCGGCGUGCCUAACACAUGCAAGUCGAACGCCCUUACGCGAGUAAGGGAGUGGCGGACGGGUGAGGAACAUGUGGGUAUCUGCCCUGGGGUGAGGAAUACCGGCGAGAAAUCGCCGACAAUACCGCAUAUGCUUCGGAAGAAGCAAAGUCGCAAGACGCCACAGGAAGA
rnacentral:rRNA from 1 species